GAGAGUUCGACGGCAGUGAUUAGAGUUUGAUCCUGGCUCAGGAUGAACGCUGGCGGCGUGCUUAACACAUGCAAGUCGAACGAGGUACAAGGACGGAAGUUUUCGGACGGAAGGCCUUGCACUGAGUGGCGGACGGGUGAGUAACGCGUGGGAAACCUGCCCUGUUCCGGGGGAUACCAGUUGGAAACGACUGUUAAUACCGCAUAAGCGCACAGCACCGCAUGGUGCAGUGUGAAAAACUCCGGUGGAACAGGAUGGUCCCGCGUCUGAUUAGGCAGUUGGCAGGGUAACGGCCUACCAAACCGACGAUCAGUAGCCGGCCUGAGAGGGUGAACGGCCACAUUGGGACUGAGACACGGCCCAAACUCCUACGGGAGGCAGCAGUGGGGAAUAUUGCACAAUGGGGGAAACCCUGAUGCAGCGACGCCGCGUGAGUGAAGAAGUAUUUCGGUAUGUAAAGCUCUAUCAGCAGGGAAGAAGAUGACGGUACCUGCAGAAGCAGCCCCGGCUAACUACGUGCCAGCAGCCGCGGUAAUACGUAGGGGGCAAGCGUUAUCCGGAUUUACUGGGUGUAAAGGGAGCGUAGACGGAUUAGCAAGUCAGAUGUGAAAGGCGGGGGCUUAACCCCUGGAUUGCAUUUGAAACUGCGGAUCUUGAGUACCGGAAGGGCAGAUGGAAUUCCUGGUGUAGCGGUGAAAUGCGUAGAGAUCAGGAGGAACACCGGUGGCGAAAGCGGUCUGCUGGACGGUAACUGACGUUGAGGCUCGAAGCGUGGGGAGCAAACAGGAUUAGAUACCCUGGGUAGUCCACGCAGUAAACGAUGAAUACUAGGUGUUGGGGCCCAUAGGGCUUCGGUGCCGCCGCAACGCAUUAAGUAUUCCACCUGGGGAGUACGUUCGCAAGAAUGAAACUCAAGGAAUUGACGGGACCGCACAAGCGGUGGAGCAUGUGGUUUAUUCGAGCACGCGAGAUCUUACAGUCUGACAUCCCUCUGAGAGUCAUAGAGUAUGCUGACUUCGGAAGAGAGACAGUGUUGCAUGUGUCGUCAGCUCAUGUCUGAGAUGUCGGUAGUCCGCUACGAGCGCAUCCCUAUGUCAGUAGCACGGUACGUCAGCCUCUGGCGAGACUGCAGAUACUGGAGGAAGGCGGGAAUAGCAAUCAUUCUUGAACUGGCUACACCGGCUAAUGGCGUAUACAGGGAGACGAAUC
rnacentral:rRNA from 1 species